rnacentral:rRNA from 1 species
UACGUAGGGUGCAAGCGUUGUCCGGAAUUAUUGGGCGUAAAGAGCUCGUAGGCGGUUUGUUGCGUCGGCUGUGAAAACCUGAGGCUCAACCUCAGGCCUGCAGUCGAUACGAGCAGACUAGAGUGCGGUAGGGGAGACUGGAAUUCCUGGUGUAGCGGUGAAAUGCGCAGAUAUCAGGAGGAACACCGGUGGCGAAGGCGGGCCUCUGGGCCGUAACUGACGCGUGAGGAGCGAAAAGUGUCGGGGAGCGAACAGG